ensembl:lncRNA
GUCGGCGUCACGACGGCACGCUGGGUGGGAGGAGCCAAUUUUUCCCAGAAACAAAUGUUAUUUGUACGACAGGUCAGCUGCUGUAAAUAUUUAAUUUUAUUUAAUUUUAUUUGAGACACGUGAGCCCCCGUCUUCUUAUUUCAGAGGCUAAUUUUAGGUUUGGACCGGCGGGUUCCGUGUAGGGGGUGGGGCUCUCAAGUUUGAUGCCACCCACUUGCCACUGCCACAAGGAGGAUCUCGGCCUUACUGAUGUCCUGGAUGUAAGCUGGACCCCAUCCAUUCACAGCAUGGUACGUGAGCACCAAUGUUUAGAACUGGAUGCGGGCAGCUGACGGUAACCAGUGAAGAAAGCGGAGGAGUGGAGUAGUGUGGGAGAACUUGGGAAGGUUAAAGACCAGUCGAGCUGCUGCAUUCUGGAUGAGCUGCAGAGGUCGAAUGGCGGUAGCAGGGAGACCUGCCAAGAGCCUGAAUUGGACCCAGUGUUAAGUGGUCUCGCUUUUCUCUUCGUGCUGACAACUAGCAGAGUGUUUAGAGUCUGCGUACCGACCACCAUUGUGUGGGAGGAAGUGUGUAAGGGUUCUCUGCCAUUUCGGUUACUGCUUUUUCUCCUGUUUUGUGCCAGCCAGCCAGAUAACAGAGCAUUGUUGAUGAGACAGGUGAGGAAAGGAAGAAGGUCAGGAGCAAUAGAUUGUAGAAUAUGUGAUGGAAUGGGGUCAAGAGGGCAGGUAGUCGGACGGGCAGAGGUUACUAGGGUAAGAAUUUGAUUAGGAGACGGGGGUGAAAGAGGAAAGUGAGGGCGAUAGAGGUGAAGUCAGUGGGACGCAAGUAGUAGGAGGUGGGUUUGAGAAAGAGGAGCGUAUGUCAGGUAUUUGCUUGGUAAAGUAGUCUCCCGGAAGGAGGGUGGAGGAGGACUAGGGGGUUCGAGGAGAUUGGAGAAGAUCGAAAAGAGUUUUUUGGGGUUAGAAAAUGAAGAUUCAAUUCUGGAUUGAUAGAAGCAGAAAAAGAGGAGAGAAGAGAUUGAAAUUCAAGCAGGUCAUCAGGUCGUUUAUAUUUACGCCAUCUCCUUUCCGAUGCUCGCAUGGUGGCUCUCAUGGCACACACCGGUUGAGACAGCCACGGAGCCGGAGGGGAUUUGCCAGUCCGUCGGGUCAUAAGAGGGCAUAGAGAGUCUAGAGAGGAGGAAAGAGUUGAGAGGAGAGUCUCAGCAGCAGCGUUCAGAUGCAAGAGUGAGAAGAAGUCAGUAGAAGGGAGAGCUGAUAGAACAGAGGAGGCCAGGGAGGAGGGAGAGAGGGAGCGAAUGUUGCGACAAACAUGUACAGAGUCAGUUGAUGGGGUCGUUAGUUAUAGAGAGUGGAAGGGAGUAAGAGAUGAAGAAGUGGUCAGAGACAUGAAGUGGAGUUACAGAGAGGUUAGUGGUAGAGCAGUUUCUAGUGAAGAUGUAGUCAAGGUGAUUGCCGGCUUUGUGAGUAGGAUGAGAGGGACUGAGUGACAGAGCGAAGGAAGAAAGUAGGUGUUAGAGGUCAGAUGACUUCUCUGUCUGGAUGUUGAAGUCACCCAGGAGGAUGAGUGGAGGGACAUUUUCAGGGAAAUUGGACAGGAUAAUGUGCAGUUCUUCCAAGAAAUGACCCAAUGAGCCUGGUGGACGGUAAAGGACCAUGAUAGUUAAUUGUACCGGGUGAGUAACUGUUACAGCAUGGAAUUAAAGACAGUGGGCUGGAUGGUGGAAGAGGGUAAAGAGAAAAAAUCCAUUUGGGUGAAAGUAGUAGACCUGUGCCAUCACCCGGACACUCGUAAUUUGACGGUAUUUCUGUUUUGUUUUUUGUCGAUGGCUUUAAAAGAGUUAGUAAUAUUAACUUAUACAUGUAAAAGAAUCUGUCAAAUUUCCCAAAUCCUUUU